UACGUAGGGUGCGAGCGUUAAUCGGAAUUACUGGGCGUAAAGUGUGCGCAGGCGGCCGCGCAAGUCGAGUGUGAAAGCCCCGAGCUUAACUUGGGAACUGCGCUCGAAACUACGUGGCUGGAGUGUGGCAGAGGAAGGUGGAAUUCCAGGUGUAGCGGUGAAAUGCGUAGAGAUCUGGAGGAACACCGAUGGCGAAGGCAGCCUUCUGGGCCAACACUGACGCUCAUGCACGAAAGCGUGGGGAGCCAACAGG
rnacentral:rRNA from 1 species